UACGGGGGGCGGAAGCGUUGUUCGGAAUUACUGGGCGUAAAGGGCUCGUAGGCGGCCAACUAAGUCGGAUGUGAAAUCCCAAGCUUAACUUGGGAACUGCAUCCGAUACUGGCGUGCUUGAGGACUGGAGAGGAGACUGGAAUUCAUGGUGUAGCAGUGAAAUGCGUAGAGAUCAUAAGGAAGACCAGUGGCGAAGGCGGGUCUCUGGACAGUUCCUGACACUGAGACACGAAGGCCAGGGGAGCAAACGGG
rnacentral:rRNA from 1 species